rnacentral:rRNA from 1 species
CUUGGUGAUCAUAAUAACUUAACGAAUCGCAUGGCCUUGCGCCGGCGAUGGUUCAUUCAAAUUUCUGCCCUAUCAACUUUCGAUGGUAGGAUAGUGGCCUACCAUGGUGGCAACGGGUAACGGGAAAUUAGGGUUCGAUUCCGGAGAGGGAGCCUGAGAAACGGCUACCACAUCCAAGGAAGGCAGCAGGCGCGCAAAUUACCCAAUCCCGAUACCGGGAGGUAGUGACAAUAAAUACUGAUACGGGGCUCUUUUGGGUCUCGUAAUUGGAAUGAGAACAAUUUAAAUCCCUUAACGAGGAACAAUUGGAGGGCAAGUCUGGUGCCAGCAGCCGCGGUAAUUCCAGCUCCAAUAGCGUAUAUUAAAGUUGUUGCAGUUAAAAAGCUCGUAGUUGAACUUUGGGUCUGGCUGGCCGGUCCGCCUCACCGCGAGUACUGGUCCGGCUGGACCUUUCCUUCUGGGGAACCUCAUGGCCUUCACUGGCUUUUGGGAAC